rnacentral:rRNA from 1 species
UACGUAGGGACCAAGCGUUGUUCGGAUUUACUGGGCGUAAAGGGCGCGUAGGCGGCGUGGUAAGUCACUUGUGAAAUCUCUGAGCUUAACUCAGAACGGCCAAGUGAUACUGCUGUGCUAGAGUGCAGAAGGGGACAAUCGGAAUUCUUGGUGUAGCGGUGAAAUGCGUAGAUAUCAAGAGGAACACCUGAGGUGAAGACGGGUUGCUGGGCUGACACUGACGCUGAGGCGCGAAAGCCAGGGGAGCGAAACGGG